UGUAACACCGGUUCGCGUACGAUUACCGAAGUUAGGCAACGUCCAGCCUGAUCAGUACCUAGAUGGGUGACCGCCUGGAAAUAGCAGGGGCU